GACGAACGCUGGCGGCGUGCCUAACACAUGCAAGUCGUACGAGAAAGUCGGCUUCGGCCGAUGAGUACAGUGGCGCACGGGUGAGUAAUGCGUGGAUAAUCUGCCCUUUAGUUGGGAAUAACGUACCGAAAGGUGCGCUAAUACCUGAUAAUACUGCAUAACUACUGUUGUGUAGUCAAAGAAGGCCUCUGUUUACAAGCUUUUGCUGAAGGAUGAGUCCGCGUACCAUUAGCUGGUUGGUGGGGUAAUGGCCUACCAAGGCUACGAUGGUUAGCUGGUCUGAGAGGAUGAUCAGCCACACUGGAACUGAGACACGGUCCAGACUCCUACGGGAGGCAGCAGUGAGGAAUAUUGCGCAAUGGGGGCAACCCUGACGCAGCAACGCCGCGUGAGUGAGGAAGGUUUUCGGACCGUAAAGCUCUGUCGAGCGGGAAGAAAUGUAUCAUGGCUAAUAUCCAUGAUACUUGACGGUACCGCUAAAGG
rnacentral:rRNA from 1 species